rnacentral:tRNA from 1 species
UUAAAGAAUAAGUUUAAUAAAGCUGCUAACUUUAGUUUAGUGAAAACUACUUUUAU